UACGUAGGGGGCAAGCGUUGUCCGGAUUUAUUGGGCGUAAAGAGCUCGUAGGCGGUUCCGUAAGUCGUGAAGUCAAAUCUCUGGGCUCAACCCAGAAUCGCUUCCGAUACUGCGGUGACUGGAGUCCGGUAGGGGAGUGUGGAAUUCCUGGUGUAGCGGUGAAAUGCGCAGAUAUCAGGAGGAACACCAACAGCGAAGGCAGCACUCUGGGCCGGUACUGACGCUGAGACGCGAAAGCGUGGGGAGCGAACAGG
rnacentral:rRNA from 1 species